GAGGGUAUAGCUCAGUAAUAGAGCAUUUGCCUCACAUGCAUAGGCCUUGGGUUUAAUCCCCAGUAUCAUGC
rnacentral:tRNA from 1 species